AGCAGUGGGGAAUCUUGGUCAAUAGCCUAACGGCUGAACCAGCAACUUGAUGGAAUGUAUAGCGAAAGCUAAUUGUAUUAAAUAUAUACAAUACCGAUUUAUUCGGCUAAAAUUCUGGGUAGAGUUUUGAUUAUGACAUUAUCUAUCUAUAUGUCUUGACCAAAUUCUGUGCCAGCAGUCGCGGCAAUACAAAGAAGACUUGUGUUAUUCAUGUUAAGUCGGUUUAAAGGGUAACUAGACGGUAAAUCAAGCCUAAUUGGGACUAAUUUACUAGAGUUUAAUAUAAGGGAGCAUAAAAGUACUGAUAGGUGUAGAGAUGAAAUUCGUUGAUACCAUAUAUGGCACAGGUUUAGGCGAAAGCAUCUCCUUAUGUAAAAACUGACGUUGAGGGACGAAGGCUAUGUGCAGCAAACAGGAUUAGAUACCCUAGUAGUCUUAGCAGAAAAUGAUGAAUGUUAUAGGGUAGCAGAGAUUAUAUUUACACUAUAGUCUAUUAUUCUAUAAAUGAAAGUGUAAGCAUUCCACCUCAUGAGUAAUUUGGCAACAUUGGAAUUGAAAUCAUUAGACCGUUUCUGAUACAAGCAGUGAAGUAUGU
rnacentral:rRNA from 1 species